rnacentral:rRNA from 1 species
GCUCAAAUUUAAAAUCUCUUCAGAGAGUUGUAGUUUGUAGAGGUGCCUUCGUUGGCGGCCCGGGUACAAGUCCUCUGGAACGAGGUAUCAUAGAGGGUGAGAAUCCCGUCUUUGAUCCGGCCACCGUCACGUUAUGAUGUGCCCUCCAAGAGUCGGGUUGUUUGGGAAUGCAGCCCAAAGUGGGUGGUAUAUUCCAUCUAAAGCUAAAUACAGGCGAGAGACCGAUAGCGAACAAGUACCGUGAGGGAAAGAUGAAAAGGACUUUGAAAAGAGAGUCAAAAGUACGUGAAAUUGCUAAAGGGGAAACGUUUGAGACCAGUCAUGCUAUGCGGAAAUCAGCUAUCCAAAUAGGGGGGUGCACUUUCCGCGUGGCAAGUCAGCAUCGAUUUUGGCUGGCGUACAAGGUCAAUGGGAAGGUAGCUCUCUGAGUGUUAUAGCCUGUUGAACAUGCGUCGGUUGGGAUCGAGGUUCGCGAUGCAUGCCUUUGGCUGCUCUGACAAAUGCAUCAAGGAUGCUGACGAAAUGGUCUUAAAUGACCCGUCUUGAAACACGGACCAAGGAGUCUAACAUUUAUGCGAGUACUCGAGUGGCAAACUCUUGUGCGCAAUGAAAGUGAAAAUGGUGGGAUCCUUCGGGAGCACCAUCGACCGAUCUGGAUUUUUUUGAUAGAUUUGAGUAAGAGCAUAGAUGCUGGGACCCGAAAGAUGAUGAACUAUGCCUGAAUAGGGUGAAGCCAGAGG